UUCUUUUUUGUUUAUUAAAAAGUAAAGCCUGCCCACUGAUUAUUUAAAGGGCCGCAGUAUAUUGACUGUGCUAAGGUAGCGUAAUCAUUAGUCUCUUAAUUAGGGAAUAGAAUGAACGGUUUAACAAUUAAUUAUUUUUAUCUCUAAUCAAUUCGAAUUUAAAUUUUAGGUGAAAAUGCUUAAAAUAUUUUAGUAGACGAUAAGACCCUAUAGAGGUUAGUUUAAGCUGUCUAAUAAAUAAUUUGGGGGAGUUAUUUAUUGGCGGUUUAAGCUUAGUUGGGGCAACUAAAGAAUAAAUUUAACUUCUUGAUAUAAAUAUAAUAUACUAUUUAAAAUCUUAAAUAAUUUAAAAAGGAAAAAGUUACCUUAGGGAUAACAGCGUAAUAUUUUUUGAGAGAACAAAUCGAUAUAAUUGUUUGCGACCUCGAUGUUGAAUUAAAAUACCUUCUAGGAGCAGAAUUUUAGGAAGGAAGUCUGUUCGACUAUUAAAUUUUU
rnacentral:rRNA from 2 species